CAUCUGGAUGUUCUUGCUUACUAGAGGAUCUUACAGGCCUUCUGAAGUCCGUCUUUCUGGAGGAACAUUGGAAACUAACGCUCCUUUUAGACCGAUGAAGAACUGCAGUGUUUUAGUGCCUUCUUGUGUUGUUGCCUGGAAGUGCAGUUGUGUUAUAGACUUAAUUGGAGCCUUCCUCCACCCAGACAGCAGAAUACCGGGCUUAGAGAAAUCUGGGAUGAGAAGACAG